CCAGACUCCUACGGGAGGCAGCAGUGGGGGAUAUUGCACAAUGGGGGGAACCCUGAUGCAGCGACGCCGCGUGGGUGAAGGAGCGUUUCGGCGCGUAAAGCCCUAUCGGCAGGGAAGAAGGAGGACGGUACCUGACUAAGAAGCCCCGGCUAACUACGUGCCAGCAGCCGCGGUAAUACGUAGGGGGCGAGCGUUAUCCGGAUUCACUGGGCGUAAAGGGAGCGCAGGCGGCACGGCAAGUCCGGUGUGAAAGCCCGGGGCCCAACCCCGGGACUGCACUGGAAACUGCCGGGCUGGAGUGUCGGAGGGGCAGGCGGAAUUCCUAGUGUAGCGGUGAAAUGCGUAGAUAUUAGGAGGAACACCGGUGGCGAAGGCGGCCUGCUGGACGACGACUGACGCUGAGGCUCGAAAGCGUGGGGAGCAAACAGGAUUAGAUACCCCCGUA
rnacentral:rRNA from 1 species